rnacentral:rRNA from 1 species
GAUGAACGCUGGCGGCGUGCCUAAUACAUGCAAGUCGAGCGAACAGAUGAGGAGCUUGCUCCUCUGACGUUAGCGGCGGACGGGUGAGUAACACGUGGAUAACCUACCUAUAAGACUGGGAUAACUUCGGGAAACCGGAGCUAAUACCGGAUAAUAUAUUGAACCGCAUGGUUCAAUAGUGAAAGACGGUUUUGCUGUCACUUAUAGAUGGAUCCGCGCCACAUUAGCUAGUUGGUAAGGUAACGGCUUAUCAAGGCAACGAUGCGUAGCCGACCUGAGAGGGUGAUCGGCCACACUGGAACUGAGACACGGUCCAGACUCCUACGGGAGGCAGCAGUAGGGAAUCUUCCGCAAUGGGCGAAAGCCUGACGGAGCAACGCCGCGUGAGUGAUGAAGGUCUUCGGAUCGUAAAACUCUGUUAUUAGGGAAGAACAAAUGUGUAAGUAACUAUGCACGUCUUGACGGUACCUAAUCAGAAAGCCACGGCUAACUACGUG